rnacentral:rRNA from 1 species
UGCAGUCGAGCGGAACGAUGAAGAGCUUGCUCUUUAGGCGUCGAGCGGCGGACGGGUGAGUAAUGCUUGGGAAUAUGCCUUAUGGUGGGGGACAACAGUUGGAAACGACUGCUAAUACCGCAUAACGUCUACGGACCAAAGGGGGGGAUCUUCGGACCUCUCGCCAUUUGAUUAGCCCAAGUGAGAUUAGCUAGUAGGUGAGGUAAGAGCUCACCUAGGCGACGAUCUCUAGCUGGUUUGAGAGGAUGAUCAGCCACACUGGGACUGAGACACGGCCCAGACUCCUACGGGAGGCAGCAGUGGGGAAUAUUGCACAAUGGGGGAAACCCUGAUGCAGCCAUGCCGCGUGUGUGAAGAAGGCCUUCGGGUUGUAAAGCACUUUCAGUUGUGAGGAAAGGGGUGUCGUUAAUAGCGGCAUUCUGUGACGUUAACAACAGAAGAAGCACCGGCUAACUUCGUGCCAGCAGCCGCGGUAAUACGAGGGGUGCAAGCGUUAAUCGGAAUUACUGGGCGUAAAGCGUACGUAGGCGGUCUAUUAAGCAAGAUGUGAAAGCCCAGGGCUCAACCUUGGAACUGCAUUUUGAACUGGUAGACUAGAGUACUGUAGAGGGUGGUG